rnacentral:rRNA from 1 species
UGAUCCUACGGGACGCAGCAGUGGGGAAUAUUGCGCAAUGGGGGAAACCCUGACGCAGCAACACCGCGUGCAGGAAGAAGGUCUUCGGAUUGUAAACUGUUGUCGCAGGGGAAGAAGACAGUGACGGUACCCUGUGAGAAAGUCACGGCUAACUACGUGCCAGCAGCCGCGGUAAUACGUAGGUGGCGAGCGUUAUCCGGAAUGAUUGGGCGUAAAGGGUGCGCAGGCGGUCCUGCAAGUCUGGAGUGAAACGCAUGAGCUCAACUCAUGCAUGGCUUUGGAAACUGGAGGACUGGAGAGCAGGG